CCUACGGGGGGCUGCAGUGAGGAAUAUUGGUCAAUGGGCGCGAGCCUGAACCAGCCAAGUAGCGUGAAGGCUGACUGCCCUACGGGUUGUAAACUUCUUUUAUAAAGGAAUAAAGUGAGGCACGUGUGCCUUUUUGUAUGUACUUUAUGAAUAAGGAUCGGCUAACUCCGUGCCAGCAGCCGCGGUAAUACGGAGGAUCCGAGCGUUAUCCGGCUUUAUUGGGUUGAAAGGGAGCGUAGAUGGGUUGUUAAGUCAGUUGUGAAAGUUUGCGGCUCAACCGUAAAAUUGCAAUUGAAACUGGCAGCCUUGAGUACAGGUGAGGUAGGCGGAAUUCGUGGUGUAGCGGUGAAAUGCUUAGAUAUCACGAAGAACUCCGAUUGCGAAGGCAGCUUACUAAACUGCCACUGACAUUGAUGCUCGAAAGUGUGGGUAUCAAACAGGAUUAGAUACCCGAGUAGUC
rnacentral:rRNA from 1 species